rnacentral:rRNA from 1 species
GACGAACGCUGGCGGCGUGCCUAAUACAUGCAAGUCGAGCGGAUUGAUGGGAGCUUGCUCCCUGAUAUCAGCGGCGGACGGGUGAGUAACACGUGGGCAACCUGCCUAUAAGACUGGGAUAACUUCGGGAAACCGGAGCUAAUACCGGAUAAUCCCUUUCCUCUCAUGAGGAAAGGCUGAAAGAUGGUUUACGCUAUCACUUAUAGAUGGGCCCGCGGCGCAUUAGCUAGUUGGUGAGGUAACGGCUCACCAAGGCAACGAUGCGUAGCCGACCUGAGAAGGUGAUCGGCCACACUGGGACUGAGACACGGCCCAGACUCCUACGGGAGGCAGCAGUAGGGAAUCUUCCGCAAUGGACGAAAGUCUGACGGAGCCACGCCGCGUGAGUGAUGAAGGUUUUCGGAUCGUAAAACUCUGUUGUUAGGGAAGAACAAGUACGAGAGUAACUGCUCGUACCUUGACGGUACCUAACCAGAAAGCCACGGCUAACUACGUGCCAGCAGCCGCCGUAA